ACGCAGGGAUCCCCUUUUUUUUUUUUUAAGAUUUUAUUUAUUUAUUUAUGAUAGUCACACACAGAGAGAGAGGCAGAGACAUAGGCAGAGGGAGAAGCAGGCUCCAUGCACCAGAAGCCCGCAGUUUUGAUUCUCUUAUCCAGAUCCCAUUUUGAGAUAAUUUAGAAAUGAUGACUUAAAACUCUCUGCAAUUUCUUUUCUUUGUUUCUUGAGAGAGAGAAACAGAGAAAGGGGCAAGGGAAGAGAGACAAACAGAAUCCCCACUGAGCAGAGGACCCCAUACGGGGCAUGAUCCCAGGACCCUGAGAUCAUGAUCUGAACUGAAGGCAGAUGCUUAAGCAACUGAGCCACCUGAGUGCCCUCAAAUUUCCUCCAGUUUUAAUGAAUAAGAAUCAUUGGUACAUCAGGUUAUUUCUCUUUCUUGAAGGCUUAUUAGAAAUUUAAUAUUGGAAUUGAUAGUAUAUCCUUUCUCUUAUUGGAAGUACAUAGUAUCUUUUGCAAAGAAAUUAAGAAUCCACUGAUCAGAGGGUUGUGCAAUAAGAAAAUACGAGACUUAUUUUGGUGCAAUAAUACUUAGUUGGGAUGUCUUGUACCUUUUUGAGGUGACCAAAGUACUUUACAGGGCAAUUUUGUUAGAAUAGACUGAUGUCUCUUUACUAAGACCUUGAACAGUAAGAUUUUGAUAGAUGGAGAGAGUAGGUAGGGAAGAUAUUUUAGGUAUGGAAGAAGCAGCCUGAGUACCAGUUAGUGAUUGUGGGCAAGGGUGAGUGUGUUGUGACUGUAAGCAUGUUGGAAAUAGUGGGGAUAGCAUAGCAUUGGGGAUGUCUGCUAUGCUCAUACAUGGGCUGAAAAAUUUAAAAAUGGAUGCAGUUAAGGUUGAGAUCAUACAUGCGAACAACUGACAUCAGUUAUAAUGAAAUUUUCAGUUUGAUGUAGUCCAAAUCACAUUUACAGAUAGAGAACACACUGUGAUACUGUAAGUGACUUAGCAAAGGCUGCAUAAAUAGUGGUAGAAUAGGACUGGUUGAUAAUGAUUCUUUUUAUGUUUUAUUUGUACUGAAUAGCAGAUGUUUUUUUUUUUACGAAUUAGGAAGUACCCAAAAUAGUUUUAAAGGCCAGGAAAACAUUUUUUGGCUAUAAGUAAAAGUGAACUUUUUGAUAAUGUUAUGAAAUAAUUCUUGGCAUGUGGAAAAUGCUCAAGUAUUUGUUAAAUAAAGUUCUGGACUAAAAAACACUUAUGAAAAUGGUGUUUCUGAUCCUAUCACUGUUUUGAUCUGUUAAUGAAUAUUUAUGGUACAGGCAGGAUGAUAACUUCAUCGCUUAGUUGGUUGAGAGUCCAACUCUUGACCUUGGCUUGGGUUAUGAUCUUGGGGUUGUAGGGUCAAGCCCCAUAUUGGGCUCCACAUUGGGCAGAGGAGACAGCUUGGGAUUCUCUCUCCCUCUCUUAAAAAAAUUUGUCACAAAUUACAAUUCUAUUUCCAUAUUCAUUUAUAGCUGUUUUUUAAAAAGUUCAUCCCUUUUAAGAUGGUCCAUUGAAAAAAAUGGUUCAACCCUUAUAUGAAUGUAUGUUUUAAUAAACUCAAGAUCAAGGAUCUGCUAGUGAGCUCACAUUCAGAUUACAUUUGAAUUGUAUGUCUAUGGAUUCACUUGCCUCUAAUAUAUCUCAAAAGAAGUAGGGUUAUUUGAUCUGAGCGGUACUAAAUUUUUCUACCUAUUUCUUUUUCUUCAUCUUCAUAAAACAGAAAGUUGCACCUUUAUGGCCAUAAUUCUUUAGGACACUUGAAGCAUAAAUGAAAUGGUUUUAAGUAACUUUUUUCCCCCCAAGGAGAAGGAAGUGACUUCUCAAACUUCCAAGUAGAAGACUUCAUUCAUGCAUUAGCAUUCUAGUAGUAGUCUUGAAAUUGAAGUAACUACUUGUCUUUGACAUCUUUCACAAAGGAGACAAAUGAUUUUUUCAGAGACAUUAAGCAAGAGUUAUAUGUAUGGAAGGAGAGGCACAUGUGGCUUUUGAGUUUUGAAUCUUUCAAUCCAUCCACUAGAUGUCUCUCUUUUCUCCCUUAUCUGAAAAUGAAUAUAUUUCAGUUAAAUCUGCUGCUGUCAAAGGCAAGUUGGAUCUGAGUUAUGCAAAUAACACAUUUCAUGUUCCCAUUUAAAGUAUGCCAUUUUCAUCAACAUACCAUGACUUCAGUAGAAACAAAGAUGUUCCUUAGGCUGUGACAGUAAUUAACUGGAAUUUAUUUACUCAGCAGUAUCAAUUUGGAACUUUUUAUAUGCUAAACACUGUUCCAGGUGUGUGGGGAUAAAAUAGUAAAGCAAAACAGACAUGUUCUUGCCUCCUGGAUCUUUAAGAGACUGUUCCAGCUAUAGCAAAAUAUAUUAAAAUUUCAAUAUGUGAACCACCAACAUUGAUAUUCUUGUGUGAAGGAAAGCCAGAGAAGGUAAGGGGUUGGGUAACAUUUUAAGCUUUUUUUCAUGCUUAAAAAUUCAGUUUUUAAUAGUACCUCCUAGUGUUCUCCAUGUUUAUGGUUAGACUUUGUACAAUUUCUCUUUAGUGAUACAGAUCAUUGAAAAGACGCAAAGUUUGACUGCAGAGUCAACAAAGUAAUGUGAGACAGAUUUCCUUCCCCUACUUAAGGUACAUGGACAUGAUAAUGGCCGUUAAUUCAUCAUGCAAAUUUCAGGCAACCAUCAACUUAAAUGUCCCACAUUUUCCUAUUCAUAUACGUAGUGUAAAUGGAGGUUUUUUUCUGGAAAAAAAUCUUCAAAAACAGUUAACAUUUUGCAGCGUGUAAUGUAGAACUCCAUGAGCGGUAUGUUUUACAUGUUAUCAAACAAACUGUACCUUUGGUGAUAGCACGGAUUGGUUGAGCCAGUUGCUCUUUCUAUUUUAGCAUAGAACUAACUUUAGGCAGCCUGGGCCUAAGAUACUUGAACUGUGGCAUGGGAGAGGAUUUUGGUUUUGGUUUUAAAUUCCAGAAUAUAUUAACUCAGGAUAUUCUCUCCUCUGUUCUAUAUACUACUAAUGCAUUGGUUAGUGAUUUCCCAUAGAAAAUCUCAGUAACUUCUUUUUUUCUAACUGAUGAAUGUCUUAACAAUUCUAACAAAAAACUGAGAAUUUAUCAUGUUCUGAGACCCAGUAAUUGGGUUGCUUUGUUCUUGGCUAGAUAGUGGCCCAUUACUAGGAAGCUUUUAUGCUUGGGCCCAUUAUGGUCUCAAAAAUGAGCAACAUGACAGUAGUAGAAGGAAGUGAUUAAGUAAGUGGAUGUGUGGGGCAUUUAGGCCUAAGUCAAAAAGAAAUAACUAGAGUCAUACUUUAUCAAACAAGUAUUUUUCUCUUCUCUAUGUGCAGUAUGUUCUCCUAGAGCAUCCUCAUAAACCUCAAAAUGGACUCAGCACAAACCAAAGCUACUCUUAAAGAAUCUCCUCCCACCCCUGUCCCAUGGCUAUUUUGAGUUUGGGGGAUGAUGGUUCAGAUUGAGAUCAAAACUCCUUGAAGUUAGAUACAAAUGUUUUGGAAAAUGGAAUAAAUGUCCCAUGUAUUGUUUUGACAGUGCAUAAGUAUUUGAGGUGGCCUUGAGUUACUUUGCAGUGAGGGAGCUUUCAGAUUAGAAGAGCCCUGGCUCCAAAGACACAGCUGUAGUAAUUGUCAUGUUGCUCCUUAUCUCCAAAGGGGCUCCACACAUUGAAUGAAAACAGCAGUCUUUUUUAGGAAGAGGCAUUACUGACAUUUGUCAUCACUGCUGCCUCUGAACGUGUGUCUUAUGUGCCCUGAGAUGAGUGCCUGUUCUCCCAGAUGUGGCUGAUCAUCAGGACGGAGAAGAAUGCUCGAAGCCUGAGGUCCCUUGAACUGGCCACACACACCUGCAUUCUGGAAUCAGAGAUAAGACAUGGGAGGAAAAUUUUCUGGGAGGGAAAAGGAGCGAUUUAAAUUCUCACUGAGGUCUGAGCUGCUGAUAGCAGAUUCUUUCCCGAAGAGAUUUCAGGUCAGAGGAGGAGGUUGGGCAGGGAGAGAGCAGGAGGCUCCUGUGCUGGCUCAUUGGCUAGGGCAGGGGCCGGGGUUGUGAGCACAAAGGAAGGAGCAAUGGGUGGCAGGACCGAGGGCCCCGGGGACCCAAGGUUGAAGUUCAUCUAUUCCCCUUUUCCUGUUAUGGGCCCUGCCUGAUUCUGACAUUCAACACUAAGAGAUCUCCUGACUGUUGAUUUCAUAGACCAAAAAAAAUCAUUUAUUGAGAGCAAUCUGAAACACUGGAAGGUUGCCAUUACUUAUAUUGUUAAAUAAGAAUGUAAAAAAAAUUAAUAAAAACCCUAUCACAUGAAAGAAAGGAUGCUUUAAUGGUAAAAAAAAAAUGGGGAAAGAAAAAAAUCUCAGAAUAAAGGGUAGUCCUUCUAAAUGGGAUGAAUAUAGCUUUAUAGGGAAAGAAAAAAUGACUGUCUAUCUCCCUUUUCAGUGGGUCCAGGAUAAUGUUGGCAGAGCCUGGCGUCCCAGUACCAAUCGAUGAUUUAUGGGAAUCACGUCCACCCUGAUUCUGAAGGUCCCACCGCAGUUUAUAGUUCAUGACAUUUUGCUGCCCCCUGGUGGCCAAAAGGAGUUGCUGUGGCGGCUAAAGGGUCUCAAAAUCUACUUACAACCCCCCAUCAAUGACUUAAGAUCAGCAGUGUUUCAACCCUCAGCAUCAACAGCAUCACCUGGAGAGAUGAAUCAGUGAGGUACAGACUUCUACACCAGGGAUUCUGAUUCAGUUGGCCUUGCCUGGGCCUGAGUAUCUAUACUUUUUAGCAGUUUUGUUCCAUUUAUCUAUAGCUAUGUAACAAACCAACCCCAAACUGAGGAACUUAAGGCAAAAGUAGUAAUUUUAUUGUUAUCUUUCCAGAUCCUUGGGGUUGAAUAGAAUCAAACAUAUAAGAAACCAACUAACAUUUUAAGAGAAUGGUAUGGGCAAAAAAGAAGCCACCAGCUCAGAGUAAAAGAGACUGCACCCAUUUGAUACUUAAAACAAACUCUGACCCUUCCCCUGACAUUUUAGGGGUAGAGAGCAGCCUGAGGGCUCUGCUUAACCCCCAAAGAAACCAUAUUCCUUUUUGGAUAUAGCAGAGGAGAAUAGUGAAAAAGGAAGGAACUCUCAGUGGGUAGAGCCAAGGACCAUGGAAAACAAGGACUGGGGAAUUUAUCUGGGUGGAAAAGAAUCAAUGGGAGCUCAUCAAGGAAUGUGACCCACCUUUAGGACAAGGGGCUGCUUGUAAUGUCUAUUUGGAGGGACUGUAGACUCACUGUGGUUCAGUGACUGGUAAAAGACUCCCAUGCUUCCACUUCCAAAUGGGAGUGUUUAUUGUGUCCUUGUCCCUAAUUGCAUAUUGAGUUUGUCUGUGGGAGCAAGUGACUUAAUUUUUGAAGUGUCACCAUUUAAAGGAGGCAUAUCUAAACCUGCUAUAGAGGUGCUUAUGUCUUAUUCAUGGAUCCUGGACUUUGAGCUCAGAACAGUACCUGGAGAGGAAUUUGAGGUUGUCUCCCUUACAGGGAGUAAGUGUCCUCUUACAUGCACAGGGAAGGGAACUGCAUGUCUGGGGUACAGAGUGCAGACUGUGGUGGAUUAUGUUAAUAUUCACCAAAUAUUGUGGCACCCUUCUCUGCAGGGCCUCUUUCUGUGGUGGGAGGGCUCUACAUCCUGGUCCUUUGGUAUUCAGGUGACCAUUUGAUUUACUCUAAUGACAUGUGAGUGUCAGAAGUGACAGGAGCUACUUCUGAACAGAAGGAUUAAGAACCACAGUGUUCACCUUUCCCUCUGCUAUGACAACUGACAAUGUUCCGGAUAGAAGCUGUUUUCCCAGCCUUGGUCCUGGAAUAAAGAUGAUGCAGAACAAAGCCAUAGCCAACUAACUACGAAUGAAUUAUAUGAAAAAUUAAACUUCUGUGUUGUGAGACCCUGAGUGCUAAUAUGAAUGAAGAGGGCAUGGGCACCCUGACAACUCUGAGCAGCCUUGGGUCCCUCUUGCAUGAUGGCUACCAACUGCAGAAGGACACAGCCUUUUUUUUUUUUUUUUUCUAAUAUUUUAUUUACUUACUCAUGAGAGAGAGAGAGAGGCAGAGACACAGGCAGAGGGGAAACAAGUUCUAUGUAGGGAGUCCGAUGCGGUACUUGAUCCUGGGACUCCAGGAUCAUGCCCUGGGCUGAAGGCAGGCACCAAGCCACUGAGCCACCCAGGGAUCCCCAGACACAGCCUUUUGACUGCCCAAUUUUACUGUCCUCUCUGAGGAAGAUUGAUUCCCUUCUCAUUUCAGCAUGCCUGACAUCAACAGUAGGUGAUAGGGAGCAACCCAGGAAGUGCCAGCCUCCAUUGAACCUCCUGUUGACAGUAUUUGUCUCUGUGAACCAGAGAUUGUGGGAAGGUCUUGGGUAAUGAAAGCUGGCUGGACACAGCCCAAAUUUCAAGAUUGUGGCAAACCAGAGGGUCCUUCGGUCCUUACCUGCUGAGGUUUCUGUUGCCCUGGUGACAUCUCAGUCUUGGCAUUCUCAUUACAUGAUGAAGACACUGGUCGUGACAAUGGGAAGGUUGAGAAGAUGAAAUGGAUGGUACCCAUAGCUGGUUCUAUGCAGCAGAACUGAGGCUCAGCAGUUGAGCAUUGUGAUUUGCCUUUGUGCAGCCCUUUGUGCUCUGAGAUGACCAGAUGACAUAUUGGGAUGUUGAUGAUUCUAAAAAAUAUGUAUAUCUGAGAAGAUCACACCAAUUAAUUUUCAUCCAGAAUUCAAGGUGAAAACUGCUUCAGAUUGUGGUAGUUGAAGCUGUUUGAAGAACUAGGGGCUGGUUAUGGCUUUUUCUGAAAUCACCAAGAAGCCUUCAGGAAGGCAUCGCUAUCUCUUAUUUCUCAUCUGACUAUUCAAAUGACCUCCCUCACAAAAAGACUUCUUUUUUUUUAAUCAACCUUAUCUCUCCAAUUGUUUAAAAACCUAUUCUACUUUUUAGCUAGAAUUAUUGACCAUAGGACCAUAAAAGAAUUUUAUAGAUGAGGAGACAAAGAUCCUAAGAGGAACACCAGAAUCCAAGCAUUCCAAGUCUUCCUUCCAUACCGUGUUUCAGAAUCAUGUGGUGUUUGACGUUAGAUGUGUUGCCAUAGUUAUAUGGAAUGGUUUUUUACCUUGGCUUUUUUCUACAUCCCCCAGCAUGCCUUGCAAAGGGCUUAUCCAUAGCCAGUCAGAUGUCAGAUAUGCUAUGGCUGGCCCUCCCUCAGUGGCCAAAUUCCUCCCCAAAAGUGACCUCUACAGAGAGGAUUUUAACCACCCAAGCUAAAGUGACAUUCCUCCCCCAUACUCUCAGCCAUACUCUAUCACCUUUCCUUGCUUAACUGUAUUUCUAGCACCUCUCAUGAUCUGAAACGAUCAGCCUUUCUUGUGCAUUGCCGCUUCUCCUACUAGAAUUUGCCUGUUUUUCUACUGAUGGGAAAUGGCUGUAUGAGAUAUGUCCCCUGACUUUCUAGCAACCAGAAAGCUGGCAGCCGUCAGUGAGAAGGCCCUGAGGUGGGAGGACUUCUGCCUGGAGAAACUAUCUAGUACUUUUCAGGCCACAGAAUUGGCCGAGGCGGCAGAUAAGGAUGGUGAUGUCCCUAAGCUCAUAGAAGGCAGGUUCUCAGACUGAUGCAAACAUCAGGGUAUCGAGGUGUCCAUCAGGAGACACCUGGUACAGUGGGAAAAACAAAGAUCCUGGAGACUAAAGUCCGCAGCCUUUCACCCCACCUCAAGAUCUGUGGCCAUGUUGCUUGAUGUCUCUGAAUUUCACUCUCUUCCAGGACUGUCUUGAGAAUUUAAAGAAGAGCAGGCCAGGUGCAGAAGACAUGACAGCUGCCCACCAAUAUUUCCCACUUUCCUUCCUUUGGGCAAACAGCAUAAUUGCACCUCCCCAGCCUCUGAAGAUGGAUAUUCCAUGUGAUCUUUCUGAUCAGUGAGAUGUGAAUGGGAGCAGUGUAGGUCCCUUCUGGGCGGAAAUGCUUAAGACCUGGCUUGAGCAAGUUGGUGAAGUGUUAAAAAGCUGAUAGCAGGGAUCUCAAAGAGAUGAAGAAUUAGUCUGGAUUCACAGAUCGAACUGCCAACCUCUGGCUGACUGAGAGCUGGUUGGAUUUGCAAGCUUGGUUUUCUAAGGAAAUACCUCUUACGAUAUUGUCCAAAGUCUCUCCCGGUUCACUUGUUUCAGCUCUGAUGGGCGGCAUGCAAGAAAAAAGGAGAAUCUAUUACAAUCCAAACAUCAGCCCCCAAAUCUGAAAUUUAGGACUGUUCUUUAUGGAGAUUGAGACUGCAUUGUUCCUCUCAACACCAGCUAAGAAUCUCCACACUGAAGAACAGCCCAGGAGCCCAUCUGGCUUGCAAGAAUUCUUCCUUCUUAGAUGCCAGAGGCAGCAGUUGUGAUUCCUAACAUGGGCAUGGCUUUACUGUGGCAUUCUAUCACCAGUGAGAUUGAUGGCAUGAGGUAUUUCUGCAAGCGCGUGCAAGCUCAUGCGUCAUCCAGGGCUCUUUGCUACAAGCCACUCUGGAGAAUGUGAACAAUGAAAGACAAGUGCUUGAGGCUUAUCUUCUCGCUUUUGAAAAGCUUCCAAUCUAGCUUGAAAGACAAAGCAGAUACGUGUGAAAAGAUUAAUACAGUAUGGGACUUAAUAAUAUCAGAGGACUACAAUGAGCUGCCUUUCUGCACCUAUUUCAUGUGGUCCUGGUGAAAUUCAAAUGACAUGAAGGAAGAUCUUGCCAAGGAUGGGUUUAUAACCACAGAUACUGGUGCAUGUAAAUGAGUGUAGCCCAAAUACGAGGAAGCCUCACCAAAGCUGUACUUCAAAGGGUGGCAGAAGGUAUGGGAGGAAGAGGACACAUUGCUAAGAACAGAAACAGGUCAACCUUCAAGUUAAAAGCCAGAUGGCUUAGCGUUUCCAGAUUGGUUUCUCAAGAGGCUGUAACAUUUCACACUUCCACCUGAAAGUACGGUUUCUCCACAUCUCAACCCAUAAUAGAUGUGACCAUGGACACCGAUAUGAUAAUACGGAGUGAAAUUCAUGUACUGCAAACAGAUUUAGCUGUUUGCUUGCCAAAUGCUGUCAUGUCCAUUAAGACUGAGCUAUCAACAAAACCAAAGAAGAGUCAUUCGAGAGGCAAGUUUGAAACACAACCUGGUACAGACUGUUCCUUUGAUGGUUAGACUUACGACUUUUGAUUUUACAAUGGUGAUACCCAUUCAGUAGAAACUGUACUUGGAAUUUUGAAUUUGGAUAGUGAUGUGUGGUAAGAUGUUCUCCUUAUGCUGGGCAGUGGCAGCGCCCAGGCCGUCAUGUGAUCAUGAGGACAAACAACCAAUACACUUACAGCCACUCUGUACCCACACAACUGGUCUGUUGCUGACUUUCAAUAACAAUACUCAGUUACAUGAGAUAGCCAACACUGUUAUAAAGUAGGCUUCAUGUUAGAUGAUUUUGCCCAGCUGUGGGCUAAUAUAAGUGUUUUGAGCAUGUUUAAGGUAUGCGAGGCUAAGCUUUGUUGUUUGGGGGGGUUAGAUGUAGUAAAUGUAUUUUCAUCUUAUGGUAUUUUCAACGCACAAUUGGUUUAUUGGGACAUAACCCCAUCUUAAGUUGAGGAAGAUCUGCAUUAUAUUUCUGAUAACAAGAAUAAAUCCCCAUUCUGACAAGUCCCAGUAAAUAGGUUUUGACUUCCUUUGUAAUUUUUGAAUGGCGCCCUUAACUUAUUACUUACAUGUGAUUUAUUUGAAGGGAUUACUACCAAUAUAUUAAAGACUCUGAGUAUGAGAAUCUUUAAUCAUCUCCCAUGUCAUCAAUCACUAAGACAGGAUGUUGAGAGAAAGCGCGUACUGCUUUCUAAUAAACCUUCUGAAGGCCUGGAGAAGCUGUGGAGGCAGCAGCUUUGGGCUUUUAUAUGGCAUUUGCUCAAUUCAGUAAGCACUUGUGGGGUACCAUUAAGUAGAAAUCACUAUGCUAUCAAAGAGGGAGGUAAGCAAGACUUGCAGUCCUAGCAUGACCUGAAGUAGCUUCUUAAGGAUUAUUUCAUGGACUUGGGUUUCAUAAUCUUCUCACACUUUGGUCCCAGUGCUGUCAUAGCUUAGACUACACUAACACUAGUUUCUUAGGACUGAUGGCCUAAUGCGUGAGAAAGCACCCAGCACAUUCCCUGGCACCUGGUAAUAGUAAAAGUUGAUCAUAAAUGUUAAGAGCUAGAAUUUGAUGGCAGCUUCUUGUACCAAUUUCCCCAAGGUUUAUUUUAGGUUUUUUUUUUUUACCUAGGAAAUCAUA